GCUGCUAUGUCCGAGUGGUUAAGGAGUGAGACUUGAACUGUCUACGGACGCUCAAUGGUAUCUCAUGGGUUCGCCCGCAGAGGUUCGAUCCCUCUUGGCAGCG
rnacentral:tRNA from 1 species